UGGCCGACAUCCACUUCAUGCAUCAUUUGAAAUUUCCUGGAUUUGUCUGGGGUCCGAUGGGUCAGCGUGGCUGACAGCUUGGAGAUUGAUAGUUGAGAUCUUUCCCAGGCGGAACAGUGUUGGACAACAUGAGCAGUGAUCCAAGGCACCAGCAGAGCAGAGUGGAGGUGGGGCAAAAACUGCAGAUGUGGUGUAUCCCUCAGUGAAGAGUGUAUAUGCGAGCCGGCCUGUGUGUGGUCUUUUGGCUGAAGGCCAUAUCCCUCCUGUCAUCAGGACUGCUGAAUGGUACUCAGUACCUGCAGACUCAGAUCUAAGCACCUGGGGAUCCAUCAGUGCUUCAGGAUGAGUAAAAUUUCAAAGAAAAUGGAAUCUGUUAUUUUUUUUCUCUUUUUUUGUUCUUUGUCCUCUUAUUGAAAUUUUUUUUAUUAUUCCCUGCUGUCAUUUCCUUUCCUUUCUUAUCUAGUGUUCUCAGACAAAGCAAAUACCCCAAGAUUAGCACUGAGAGAAAUCGUCACUCUUCCUGAUGUUGAUCAGAGCCAUCCGAACGUCCUCCUUUUCUGAUUCUCCCUCCCCCUUUCAUCUCUCAUCUGCAGUUCUCGGCUGAUCUGCCAUCUUUAAAGUCACUCUGGAUCACUGAGACUGUUGCUCACUCAGCAGCUAUGGUUGAGCUUUCCUUACAGUCUGGUGCAUUAUAG